UACCAGGAAUAACAGACUUUACUCCAACCAAUCUGGAUUUAUAGAAUUUUUAUAAUCACAAACUUUCUUUGUCGAAACACACAUACAAAUCUCAAUAAACAACAAUCAUAAUCUUCCAUUCAUAAUCAAUCUUCCAAUAACUUUUCAUAUAAUUCAAUCACUCAGUACUCCAAUUACAUAAUCAAUAACUCAUAAAUUAAUCUCUGAUUUAUUCCACAGACUCACUUCUCAAUAUUCAGAAACUAUUCAUUACUCUUCAACAAUGAAGACAACAAAGAAACAAAGAGGUAGCACCAAGCUAAACCUCGACUCAUGACUAUUAUAGCCUGGCUCUCGGCUUACAACUCUCACAAUCUGGCUCCGAUCUCUCUUUCUUCAACCUCUUCAUCCUACCAAAAAGAUGAUCCGUUGGCCAGCGGAUUCCAAAGAUUAUGACCCUUUGAUUUUUUAACCAUUUAUUCCACUAACAACUUAAUGUUACCAACUAAACUACCUAACCAUCAGUCUAAUUCUCAAGGUUAUCAAUGACCAACCAAUAACUUACCACAAAGUUUAUUUGCAUAAUCUACAUAGUUCCACUCUUAAUUGUG
rnacentral:lncRNA from 1 species